rnacentral:rRNA from 1 species
CAUGCAAGUCGAGCGCGAAAGCGGACUUCGGCCUGCGAGUAGAGCGGCGAACAGGUGAGUAACGCGUGGGUGAUCUGCCUUCGAGUGGGGAAUAACACCGGGAAACUGGUGCUAAUACCGCAUGACAUCCUCGGUUCGUUCCGGGGAUCAAAGCUGGGGACCGUAAGGCCUGGCGCUUGAAGAGGAGCCCGCGUCCGAUUAGCUUGUUGGCGGGGUAAUGGCCCACCAAGGCUUCUAUCGGUAGCCGGCCUGAGAGGGCGGACGGCCACACUGGGACUGAGACACGGCCCAGACUCCUACGGGAGGCAGCAGUGGGGAAUUUUCCGCAAUGGGGGAAACCCUGACGGAGCAACGCCGCGUGGAGGAUGAAGGCCCUCGGGUCGUAAACUCCUGUCGAUCGGGAAGAAUGCGUCCGACCCAAUACGUCGGCACGUUGACUGUACCGGUGGAGGAAGCCACGGCUAACUCUGUGCCAGCAGCCGCGGUAAGACAGAGGUGGCAAGCGUUGUUCGGAAUUACUGGGCGUAAAGGGCGCGCAGGCGGUUCGCCAAGUCCCGUGUGAAAUCCCCCGGCUCAACUGGGGAACUGCGCGGGAAACUAGUGGACUUGAGUUCGGGAGAGGAAAGCGGAAUUCCGGGUGUAGCGGUGAAAUGCGCAGAUAUCCGGAGGAACACCAGUGGCGAAGGCGGCUUUCUGGACCGACACUGACGCUGAGGCGCGAAAGC